CCUACGGGUGGCAGCAGUGAGGAAUAUUGGUCAAUGGGCGGAAGCCUGAACCAGCCAAGUCGCGUGAGGGAAUAAGGCCCUACGGGUCGUAAACCUCGUUUGCCGGGGAGCAAGGGCGGGGACGUGUCCCGGCCCGGAGAGUACCCGGAGAAAAAGCAUCGGCAAACUCCGUGCCAGCAGCCGCGGUAAGCCGGAGGAUGCGCGCGUUAGCCGGAUUGAUUGGGUUAAAAGGGUGCGUAGGCGGGCUUUUAAGUCAGCGGUAAAAAUUCGGGGCCAAACCCCGUCCGGCCGUUGAAACUGGGGGCCUUGAGUGGGCGAGAAGAAGGCGGAAUGCGUGGUGUAGUGGUGAAAUGCAUAGAUAUCACGCAGAACCCCGAUUGCGAAGGCAGCCUUCCGGCGCCCUACUGACGCUGAGGCACGAAAGUGCGGGGAUCGAACAGGAUUAGAUACCCGGGUAGUC
rnacentral:rRNA from 1 species